ACGAACGCUGGCGGCGUGCUUAACACAUGCAAGUCGAACGGAAAGGCCCUGCUUCUGUGGGGUGCUCGAGUGGCGAACGGGUGAGUAACACGUGAGUAACCUGCCCUUGACUUUGGGAUAACUUCAGGAAACUGGGGCUAAUACCGGAUAGGAGCUCCUGCUGCAUGGUGGGGGUUGGAAAGUUUCGGCGGUUGGGGAUGGACUCGCGGCUUAUCAGCUUGUUGGUGGGGUAGUGGCUUACCAAGGCUUUGACGGGUAGCCGGCCUGAGAGGGUGACCGGCCACAUUGGGACUGAGAUACGGCCCAGACUCCUACGGGAGGCAGCAGUGGGGAAUAUUGCACAAUGUGCGGAAGCCUGAUGCAGCAACGCCGCGUGCGGGAUGACGGCCUUCGGGUUGUAAACCGCUUUCGCCUGUGACGAAGCGUGAGUGACGGUAAUGGGUAAAGAAGCACCGGCUAACUACGUG
rnacentral:rRNA from 1 species